GACGAACCGUACGAACGUUAUUCGGAAUUACUGGGCGUAAAGCGCGUGUAGGCGGCAGCGUGUGUCGGGCGUGAAAUCCCACGGCUCAACCGUGGAAGUGCACCCGAAACUGCGCAGCUAGAGUCCUGGAGAGGAAGGUGGAAUACUUGGUGUAGAGGUGAAAUUCGUAGAUAUCAAGUGGAACACCGGUGGCGAAGGCGGCCUUCUGGACAGUGACUGACGCUGAGACGCGAAAGCGUGGGGAGCAAACAGG
rnacentral:rRNA from 1 species